rnacentral:lncRNA from 1 species
GCCGCCGCCUGUGCCCCUCUGCUGAGUCUGCUUGAGAUGUUUUGCAGACCCUGCACUCAUUGGAUCAGCUGACUACCUAGACCGGUAACCUGGCUCAAUCAGUUCUGCCAUUACACCCAGGAACAGAAAACAGCAAGAAAACCUCACUUCGACUCCCUGUGAUUCCGUCUUCAACCUGACCAAUCAGCACUCCCCGCUUCCCAAGCUCCUACUCGCCAAAUUAUCUUUAAGAACUCUGAUCCUCAAAUGCUCAGGGAGACUAAUUUGUGUAAUAAUAAAACUCUGGUCUCCCACACAGCUGGCUCUGCGUGAAUUACUCUUUCUCCAUUGCAA